AUGAAGGAUGUUAGAGCCUGGGAUGCUGAGGCACCACAGCACGAGCUAAUUUGUCCAUUCGAGAACCUGCUUCGGCAAUUUUCUUGGCAGCAUUAAUGACAUCAGAUGUAUUUUUCAAUGGGCCUUUGCCUCUGAAACAACAUAUACAACAUAAUUAGAAAUCCACUUAAUGACGGGAAAGAGACCAACCUACCUGCUGUUUUUGGUUUAUUGUCCUCCUCAUACAGAAGAGCGAAUCAUGCUUUACUUAGACCUCACAGGUCCUAAACCAGCAUCAUUUAAAACAUUCGCUAGGUGCUUCUCUGAAAAAGAAUCCGUAAAACUACCAGCAGACUCCCAGACUCAAUGUUCAAUCCCCAGAUGAAAAGCAAUGCACAUUUCAUUGUCCCAACACAAGGUUAAUUUGUGCACUGAAAAGUGUAUACUUCUCUGUCAACUAUAGCACUUGC
ensembl:lncRNA novel transcript